rnacentral:lncRNA from 1 species
AUUCUAAGAAAGUGUUGUUUCCUCCAAAGAAGUCAUAUUAGGAGCUAUGCAUUGUGCCAAGUGUUUUGAAUCUUUUCUGUUGGAAUUGUCAUUAGAACUAAAGUCAUUGUCUUUUGAAUAUCCUCAAUGGCGAGUUUUCUUUUCUUUUGGGGUUGCUGUUUUCCUUUUAGAAUGGCUCUAAGACUAGCCAAAGACUAGACAAAGUUGUCCAGAGCAAAGUGUAGUAAAUAAAAUGGAUGAUCAGGCAGUAAUUUGUGUAGUACACUAUCCAACAGAUGUUUUAGAAUUUCUGCAUAAUAAGCUUGCCUGACUGUUUGACCUUGUAGAUUAAUUCAGCUUAGACAAUACCAUUUAUUUGAAGAAACAAAUUAACAUUUGUCUUCAUUUGUGAUUCAAACAGGCAUACUUUCUUAGAGCUUUAGUUUCUUGGACUUUUCCAUUCAAGAUUUUGGCAUCUUCUUUUCAGGUCAUACUGGAAAUAUCAAGUUUUCUCAAAUUUCUAUUGUCCUCAAAAACACAUGACUUUGUCCAGCUUCUCUUGAAAGGUCAGAAUAAAUGUCAAGUCUUCUGCGUUUCUGUUCCUCACUCCAAAUACGUGACACAAUCAUCACAGCACCUUAGCUUUGGCUCACGUUUUCUUUUGGAAUGAAGCUGUUUCAGGAUUCUUAAACACAGGAAAAGAUGCUCAGUAUCCUCUGAAUGAGAGAAACAAUAUUAUAAUUACAGUCAGACUUUUUUCAUAUACCAGAUAGGCAAAGAUCAAGAGGUUUAACAACCACAGUAUAGUGCAAAAGGAACCUUCAUAAACUGUUAGCCAGAGUGUAAAUUAGUACAACCUAUAUAGUAACUUGUCAAUAUCCUUCUAAAAAUGCACAUACUCUUUGAUCUGUCAAUCCUAAUUCUAGGAAUUUUCCCACAAGAGUACUUAGACAAUGAAAUAUCACACAUGUACAUAUUAUUCACUGGAAGCUUAUUUGUAACAGCAAAAGAGUGCAUCAACAGAGAACUGGUUAAAUCAGUCACAGCAUAUUCAUGCAAUGGAAUAUUAAUUAGCUCUUAAGAAUAAUUAUGAAAUGUUCUAUGUCUUGCUUUGAGAGAUGGUUUCAUAUCUUGCUUUGAGAGAUGGUUACACCCUUGUAUUCAGAUCUCAAAAUGUAUCAAAUGGAAUCUCUGACUUAGUGAAUACAAAUUAUACCUCAAUAGAAAAAGAAAUGUGGACAGCAUAGAGCUAGGUUUAAAAAAAUAGGACUCCAAAACACUUUUUUCCAGGAUAUUUGUUAAAGGAAAAAAUGGGCCUAUGGAUGUAUGUUAUGGUUAGCAUAGAAAACAAUGUAUAAACAUAGUUGCAUAUGUAUGGGGUAUCUCUUGAAGAAUGCAAGAAUAAGGUAAUAGUUGCUGCUUCUAGGACAGAGAACCACAUGGGUAGAAGAUAAAAGCAGAAAGGAGAUGUAGUGUUCACUUUAUACCCUUCCUACUUUAUUUAUUUUUUAAUUUAAUUUUUAUUUUAUAUUGGACUACAGUUGAUUUACAAUGCUGUGUUAGUUUCAGGUGUACAGCCAAUUGAUUCAGUUAUACAUAUGUCUAUUCUUUUUCAGAUUAUUUUCCCAUGUAGAUUAUUACAGAAUAUUGAAUAGAGGUCCCUUGGCUAUGCAGUAGGUCCAUGUUGAUUAUCUAUUUUAAAUAUAGCAGUGUGCAUAUGUUAAUCCCAAACUCCUUAUUUAUCCCUCCUUCUCUGUGUUCCCCUUUGGUAACUGUAAGUUUGUUUUCUGUGUUUGUGAGUCUGUUUUGGUUUUGUAAGUAAGUUCAUUUGUGUCAUUUUUAGAUCCACCUAUAAGUGACAUCAUCUGAUGCUUGUCUUUGUCUGGCUUACUUCCUUUAGUGUGAUGAUCUCUAGGUAAAUCCGUGUUGCUAAAUGGCAUGAUUUCAUUCAUGAUUAUGACUGAGUAAUAUUCCAUCAUAUAUAUGUACCAUAUCUUCUUAAUCCAGCCAUUGUCCAAUGUACAUUUAGGUUGUUUCCAUGACUUGACUAUUGUAAAUAGUGCUGCUAUGAACAUUGGGGUGCAUGUAUCUUUUCAAAUUAUGGUUUUCUCCGGAUAUAUGCCAAGGAGUAGGAUUGCUGAAUGAUAUCAUUCUAUUUUUAUUUUUUAAGGAAACUCUAUACUGUUCUCUACAGUGGUUGUAUACCCUUCCUUCUUUAAAUUUUUAUAACUUGUACAUAUACUUAUAUAUUCAAAAGAAAAACAAUUUUUUAAAUGAAGCUUUUUCAUAAUCUAUAUCUGCCAUCAGCCACUUUCCUAUGAUUAAUCGCUUAUUUGAAAGAACAAAUCUCUGUCACUAGAUAUAUGAGCCCUUUGGGCUUUUAUUGUGCUAGUGCUUUUCUACCCCACUAUCAACAUUCUUGCUAGCUUUUAAAAAAUGUCUGUGCCAAUAAAAUAAAUAUUUUGUUGACAUGAUAUUACCGCCAUAGGCUCUUCCUUUUAGUUUAGUGAGUAUCUUUCUUGCUGAGUUAAAUCCAUUCAAUAUCUAUGGGAAAUGCAAAAUGGCAACAUGAAUCUUUUCAUAAGAGAGGAAACAUAACACCCUUUAUGCAUACAGCUGGUUGAUGCAAGGACCAGCCUGCUUUGACAGCCCAGUUAUUGAAACACAAAAUGGUAAUCCUUCUAUAAUUCUCAAUAUUCAAAUAAUAUAUUUCUUAAAUGACUUGAAAAUAACACCCAAACAUUGUGAUUUUUUUAAAAAAUUUCUGUUAUUUUUAAUGGAUUUUUUUAAGGAUUUUAAACUGAUGAAAAUGAAGAAAUUAUUGGAUUAUCUAUUGAAAUAUAUGUCAAAGUUCUAUAAUACCAUCUGGCCUUCUCUAAUUGCUUAUGUAUAUAUACCACUAUCCUUUGUGUUUGAGGACGAUGGAUUUGAAGAUUAUUCACUACUUGACUGAAAUAACUAUUUCUUUUUUUUUUUUUUUUUAUGAGUCUAGUACAUUAUAGGGUGAUUUUUUUUUUUUUUUUUUUUUUGUCUUUUUGCUAUUUCUUUGGGCCGCUCCCGCGGCAUAUGGAGGUUCCCAGGCUAGGGGUCUAAUCGGAGCUGUAGCCACUGGCCUACGCCAGAGCCACAGCAACGCAGGAUCCGAGCCGCGUCUGCGACCUACACCACAGCUCACGGCAACGCCGGAUCGUCAACCCACUGAGCAAGGGCAGGGACCGAACCCGCAACCUCAUGGUUCCUAGUCGGAUUCGUUAACCACUGCGCCACGACGGGAACUCCCUGAAAUAACUAUUUCUUUGAACCACGAAAUACUGUUGCAUAGCUUUUACUUGAUUUGGAGACUAAACUAAUAAAUUACUUAUGCUGAUUAUUCAAACUAACAGUUAUUUUAGCAUUUUUAAAACACAGGUUAAUAAUGGCCAUUGUUUGCAGAGUAUUGUUGAGGGUACAUAAGGAUAGUUUUUGAACUAAUAUUUAUAAUAUUUGGAUGGAGGAAUAGAGGCACAUGUGGAAUAUUUUUCUCCAAACUCAAAUUUGCCCACAGCUGUUGCUUGAAGAAGGAACACUCUACGCUUGGUUAUUGACUCCUGGCUAGCUGCAGCCUUAGCUUCUGGCUUUAAAUGGCCUAAAAACUGCAUAGCACAUCAGUAGGCAUUUUUAAUUAAAAUUAAAUUGAAAUUUAAUUUAAUUAAUAAAAUUUUGUUUAAAGGUUUAAUACAAUAAUAGCAAACAUGACUUGUCAAGAGAUAGAGGUUUGUAGUUCAGAGUUUAAGUUUUAGUCUUUGGAGUUAGAGCAGGUUUGAAUCCAGGCUCUGCUGUACAUAAACUGAGAUUAGGGUUCCUUUCCAUAUUUAACCAUUGUGACCUUCAGUUUCUCCAUCUCUAAAAAUGCGCAUAAUGUGAUCUAUGCCAGCAGGUUAUAGGGGAAGAUCAAUCAACACAAUGUAUCCAUAAACUAUAGCUAUUGUUAUUGUUAUAGAAAGAAAUGCUUUGAAUUAUAGAUGUUACUGAAAAUUACCCUAAAGCAAUAUAAUAUGAUCCAAUGUUAUCUUUGUUAUAAGGAUUAAAUUUUCAUUCAUUCAAUCAGUGAUUCAUUCACAUGUGGGAUUCUGAGAAAGUCAUACUGAUAGCUCCUUUAUAUCAAAGGAAAAAGCUUUUGUGGCUAAACUUGGUUAAUUUAUAGUAAGAACAGUCUUUUAAGACAUCAGUUUUGAAUCCUCUCUAUAUUAACAACCAUAUGAAGUCUAAAUCAUUUUAAAUGACCCUUCCUCUCCAUGCUGUUCUUUUCUCUCAUCUUCAGGGGUCUCUCCACCAAACCCAGGUUAUCAGAGAAUGGUUAAAACUGGACUCUAUGGCCCAAUACCUUGAAUGCUCUAUUUUUGGUGUCUUUGAGACAAAACUAGACUCUCACAUGACUAGUCUCCCUGUUCCCAAGGGAAAAAUUAUUUUUGACAUGUCUGUCUGCCCCAUUAGAUGGUAAGUUCCUCUGAGAGUAAGAUGGAUUUCAUCCAUCUUUCCAUCAUUGCACAGCCCCAUGCAGGGAGUUGGCACAGUACAGGUAUGCCGUUUGUUUCUUUAAAAUAAUGCACUAUUAUUACAUUCUAACCAUUUCAAUGAAAAGGGUUACUAUUUCAAUAGUAAUUUUCUUGUUACAGAAAGAGUGCUUUUUAGUGAGUGUUUUGCUUUCAUUGCCAUUUGUUAUGUCUAUUUCAUGAAAGCCACCAGUGAUCACUGAGCCUUUUAAAGUCAUCACCUCACUAGAAGCUCUCUGACUUGGGUGCUUUUCUAAUUGUUGUGGUUUUCCUGUGUCAGCUUGAUGCUCUCUCUCAGAACUAUCACAGUUAUUUUCAACUCUGGCUGCAUAUGAGAGUUCCUCUGCAGUUCCAUUUCUAGAUGAACUUUAUGAGUUAGUAGAAUGUAGGUGACACCCAGGCAUGGGAGGGUUGAAAAAGCUCAACAGGCGACUCUGAUGCCCAAUCAGAUUGAAAACCAUCUGGACCAUCUAUGUUUUACUAAAGGGAUGUGACCAAAUUGCUGUUACCCUGGUCUUAACCUAAGUGUGGGGUCUAAGCCUUUUGAAUCAUUCUAUGCAGAGGCUACAAAAUUCUGCUCCACUGGUCUG